GACGAACGCUGGCGGCGUGCUUAACACAUACAAGUCGAACGGAAAGGCCCUGCUUUUGUGGGGUGCUCGAGUGGCGAACGGGUGAGUAACACGUGAGUAACCUGCCCUUGACUUUGGGAUAACUUCAGGAAACUGGGGCUAAUACCGGAUAGGAGCUCCUGCUGCAUGGUGGGGGUUGGAAAGUUUCGGCGGUUGGGGAUGGACUCGCGGCUUAUCAGCUUGUUGGUGGGGUAGUGGCCUACCAAGGCUUUGACGGGUAGCCGGCCUGAGAGGGUGACCGGCCACAUUGGGACUGAGAUACGGCCCAGACUCCUACGGGAGGCAGCAGUGGGGAAUAUUGCACAAUGGGCGGAAGCCUGAUGCAGCAACGCCGCGUGCGGGAUGACGGCCUUCGGGUUGUAAACCGCUUUCGCCUGUGACGAAGCGUGAGUGACGGUAAUGGGUAAAGAAGCACCGGCUAACUACGUG
rnacentral:rRNA from 1 species